rnacentral:sRNA from 1 species
UACUAAUCUUGCCUGCCAGCGUUUCAGA